UACGUAGGGUCCGAGCGUUGUCCGGAAUUACUGGGCGUAAAGAGCUCGUAGGUGGUUUGUCGCGUUGUUCGUGAAAACUCACAGCUCAACUGUGGGCGUGCGGGCGAUACGGGGCAGACUGGAGUACUGCAGGGGGAGACUGGAAUUCCUGGUGUAGCGGUGGAAUGCGCAGAUAUCAGGAGGAACACCGGUGGCGAAGGCGGGUCUCUGGGCAGUAACUGACGCUGGAGGAGCGAAAGCGUGGGGAGCGAACAGG
rnacentral:rRNA from 1 species